UCCGUUUUGUCAACGGCAGUCUCGCCAGAGUCCUCUUGCGUAGUAACUGACGAUAAGGGUUGCGCUCGUUGCGGGACUUAACCCAACAUCUCACGACACGAGCUGACGACAACCAUGCACCACCUGUCUCGAUGUCCCCGAAGGGAAGAUCCUAUCUCUAGGACUGUCGUCGGAUGUCAAGACCUGGUAAGGUUCUUCGCGUUGCGUCGAAUUAAACCACAUACUCCACUGCUUGUGCGGGGCCCCGUCAAUUCCUUUGAGUUUCAACCUUGCGGUCGUACUCCCCAGGUGGAUUACUUAUUGUGUUAACUGCGGCACAGAUGGUGUGUAACCACCUACACCUAGUAAUCAUCGUUUACGGCAUGGACUAC
rnacentral:misc_RNA from 1 species